rnacentral:rRNA from 1 species
UACAGAGGUCUCAAGCGUUAUUCGGAAUUAUUGGGCGUAAAGGGCGCGUAGGCGGCUUGGCAAGUGGAUGGUGAAAUCCCUCGGCUUAACCGAGGAACGGCCGUCCAAACUGCUUCGCUUGAGACCGGGAGAGGUGAGUGGAAUUCCCAGUGUAGCGGUGAGAUGCGUAGAUAUUGGGAGGAACACCAGUGGCGAAGGCGGCUCACUGGACCGGUACUGACGCUGAAGCGCGAAAGCGUGGGGAGCAAACGGG